rnacentral:rRNA from 1 species
CUAUGGGUUGCAGCAGUGAGGAAUAUUGCACAAUGGGGGAAACCCUGAUGCAGCAACGCCGCGUGGAGGAUGACGCAUUUCGGUGUGUAAACUCCUUUUAUAUGUCAAGAAAAUGACGGUAGCAUAUGAAUAAGCACCGGCUAACUCCGUGCCAGCAGCCGCGGUAAUACGGAGGGUGCAAGCGUUACUCGGAAUCACUGGGCGUAAAGGACGCGUAGGCUGUUUGGCAAGUCAGAUGUGAAAUCCUAUGGCUCAACCAUAGAACUGCAUUUGAAACUGCCAGACUAGAGUAUGGGAGGGGGAGAUGGAAUUAGUGGUGUAGGGGUAAAAUCCGUAGAUAUCACUAGGAAUACCUAAAGCGAAGGCGAUCUCCUGGAACAUUACUGACGCUAAGGCGUGAAAGCGUGGGGAGCAAACAGGAUUAGAUACCCGCGUAGUC